GGAGCUAGGGUUUAAAACAAUGAGUCAGACCUAGGGUUUUAGAGGACUGUGCUUUGAAUUCGAAUCCGAGAGAAAACAAUGGGUUUUUGGGGAAUUGAAGUGAAACCAGGCAAACCGCACCCUUACCACUCUGAUAAUGUGGAAGGAAGGCUUUAUGUAACUCAGGCAACUCUAGGCCUUGGUUCAUCAAGAGAGAGGAGCAUCCUUCAGUGUUCUGUUGGGCAUAAAAGUCCAAUUUUCUUGUGUUCCUUGUUACCGGAUAGAAUUGAAUCUUGCUCCUUGAAUCUCGAAUUCAAGGAUGAAUUGGUAGCCUUCUCGGUGAUUGGCCCACGAAGCAUCCAUCUAUCUGGUUACUUUGUGUCUGAUGAAGGCGAUCAUCUCCGAGAUGAAUACGAGUCUGAUUCUGGAGAAGACAUUGCUGAGACAGAGAGUGAAGAUUCAAGUGAAUUUGAUUAUGGUGAUGAUGAUGAUGAUGACUUCAUUGAUGAUGAUGAGGAUAUUGAAAUGUUUGCAACUUCACCUGUCCCCAAUAGUGGAGUUGUAAUUGAGGAAAUAGUGGAUGAUGACAAACCUACAAAUGGAAAUGGUCAGCCUAAACGAUCAAAGAAGAAGAAUAAUAAGUCGAACGACCAUGAGGACCAAAAUAACUCCCAACAGCAAAUUGUUAUCAGGGGGGCUACUGAUGCAUCAGUUUUGGAAAGUGAAGAUGAAGAUGGCUUUCCAGUUACUGCCUCACAAAAAAGCGAAGAUGUUGUUCAGGAUCUCCAAGCAGAAGUAGCUGUACAGAAAGAAAAGAGAGGUAAAGAAAUCAAGAAGAAAGCAAGAGAUGGCAAUGAUGAUGCUGCAGGCAAAAAGAGAAAAGUUAAAAGUACUGAACAAUAUGGUCAACCAAUAAGGAAAAAGAAGAAGGAGAAGCAGAAAGAAAAAGGUAAAGAGGUAGACGCUGAUGAAAUAGACGACAAUGAGAAAAAUGAUCUUUCUAAAGAUGGAAUCCAUCAUGAGGAGGUGAAGCAGCAGGUUUCUCCUGAUGGAAAUGAGCAUCAUCAGAGGGUCCUUAACUCUGAUGCAGACUGUGUGCAUGGUGAAGAUGCCUUGGACGAGAAAAAGAGGAAGAAAAAGAAGAAGAACAAGAAGAAGAACCAGGAUAGCGGGAAGGACAUGAGUAAGGAUCAAGCUGUUUCAGCUGUGGGAGAUGAGGCCAAAUCCUCUCUGGGGUCUCAAGAUAAGCAAUCUUCAGGCAAAUCUUCACAGGUUAGAACCUUUGCCAAUGGUUUGGUUAUUGAGGAGCUAGCAAUGGGCAAACCCGAUGGUAAAAGAGCUUCUCCUGGAUGUCAGGUCAGUGUGCACUACAUUGGCAAGCUACAGAAGAAUGGCAAAAUAUUUGAUUCUAAUGUGGGGAGGGCACCGUUCAAAUUUCGCCUAGGUGUAGGCCAAGUUAUAAAGGGAUGGGAUGUUGGAGUUAAUGGUAUGAGAAUUGGGGAUAAGAGAAGACUCACAAUUCCACCAUCAAUGGGGUAAGCAAUUGUUAUCACUCCAUCAACAUAAUUCUUUGGCUAAAUCUGUUGCAUGCCAUCUAUGUCUUUAAUUUUUGGGAGUCACUAAUUUGAUGCUUACAGCAAAUUCUUUUUUGUUCAUUGGCGAUGUGCCUUUCUAAAUUGUGAUUUUCAAGUUGGUUGAAGUCUACUCCAUGUACACUAUAUUAUCUGUUGAUACAUUUUUUAUGUGCAGUUAUGGAGAUAGAGGAGCUGGUGGAAAGAUCCCACCAAAUUCGUGGCUUGUGUUUGAUGUUGAGUUGGUGAACGUUCGAUGAUCAGCAUCGUGCGUUUCUUUCAGUUUUGAAUCGGCAGCUUAAAUGGAUUUUGAUAACUUGGUAUUCUAAAGACAAGUUCGUUUUAUUACAGUACUAGUUCAUCCCCAUCAUGCAUGUGAAAUCAGUGUUGUUAGAUGGGGGUGUGCAGAAAUUUUGAUAGAAACUAGCUGAAUCUGGCUUUGCAUGGGUCAUGUUUCUUUGAAGUUGGACUCAUGCUGUGCGUGUGAAUUUUGGCGAACUUUGUUAAGGGGAGGAAGAAUUAUGCAUUGAGGUAUUUAAGGCAUCAAACCUCUAGUGAACUUGAGGUGAAACAUGAUUGAAACAGUUUGGUUUAAAUUGCGAGGGACCAUUCCCUUUUCCACAUGUUAAUGGAUUUGAUAUGUAUUGAGGUUCUGUUCCCAUUGGAGAAUGGAAUUCGCUGUCGAAGACAAUCUGUUAGCUUCUAUGAGUAGUUUUAACAUUCACCUGGUAACAAGAGUAGCCCACCACUGCGAAAUCAAAGCUGGCAGUAGUCUAUUAUUUACUCUGCUUGUCAUAAAUUUUUUCAAGCCAUGUAUUCUUUAUAAAAUAAGAAAUAAAUAUAUAAAAGAAAUGAGCUGAAAAAAAAAAUUUGC
rnacentral:misc_RNA from 1 species